GACGAACGCUGGCGGCGUGCUUAACACAUGCAAGUUGAACGGAAAGGCCCUGCUUUUGUGGGGUGCUCGAGUGGCGAACGGGUGAGUAACACGUGAGUAACCUGCCCUUGACUUUGGGAUAACUUCAGGAAACUGGGGCUAAUACCGGAUAGGAGCUCCUGCUGCAUGGUGGGGGUUGGAAAGUUUCGGCGGUUGGGGAUGGACUCGCGGCUUAUCAGCUUGUUGGUGGGGUAGUGGCUUACCAAGGCUUUGACGGGUAGCCGGCCUGAGAGGGUGACCGGCCACAUUGGGACUGAGAUACGGCCAGACUCCUACGGGAGGCAGCAGUGGGGAAUAUUGCACAAUGGGCGGAAGCCUGAUGCAGCAACGCCGCGUGCGGGAUGACGGCCUUCGGGUUGUAAACCGCUUUCGCCUGUGACGAAGCGUGAGUGACGGUAAUGGGUAAAGAAGCACCGGCUAACUACGUG
rnacentral:rRNA from 1 species